UACAGAUAAGUCACUCUUGGGAAGAAGGCUUGAAACUGAAUGACAACGGCUUACAGAAAUCAUCCUCUCUAAAGUGCAUUGAUUUAACUCCAGUAUCCUCAAUGGCUUCUUCCAUCAAGAAGACUGGGAAGUCUACUUCCAGCUACUUUUGAUGGAAACGACAGCAAUGCUGGAUCUUCUGGUAAUUCGUCAGCUGAAAUCGGCACUGUCACAAACUCUCCUGUGUCACCUUCUGAUACUGGUUCUCAUUUGUUCUAGUAGACGAACUUUCAACUAAAUGAUUCACCCAUCCCAAGACUUUCUCACCAGUGGAGAAACACACACAUCAAGCAAACCAAGUCAGAGCAAUGAGAAUUGUACUGUAUAAUUUAAACUAUCUCCUAUUUAUCUUUUUUCCUCAAUUUCCUAAAAUUCUAUUUAUCUACAGAACUUGCGUGUAUAAUUCUUGUGUACAUCCUUAAAUUUAAUGUAAUAACAUGUUAAAGAUGUUUUCCAAAUAAGAACCAUGUUGAAGAUACAAGCGUAAAUUG
rnacentral:lncRNA from 1 species